rnacentral:rRNA from 1 species
UGGGGAAUAUUGCACAAUGGGCGCAAGCCUGAUGCAGCCAUGCCGCGUGUAUGAAGAAGGCCUUCGGGUUGUAAAGUACUUUCAGCGAGGAGGAAGGCGUUGUGGUUAAUAACCGCAACGAUUGACGUUACUCGCAGAAGAAGCACCGGCUAACUCCGUGCCAGCAGCCGCGGUAAUACGGAGGGUGCAAGCGUUAAUCGGAAUUACUGGGCGUAAAGCGCACGCAGGCGGUGUGUCAAGGCGGAUGUGAAAUCCCCGGGCUCAACCUGGGAACUGCAUCCGAAACUGGCAGGCUAGAGUCUUGUAGAGGGGGGUAGAAUUCCAGGUGUAGCGGUGAAAUGCGUAGAGAUCUGGAGGAAUACCGGUGGCGAAGGCGGCCCCCUGGACAAAGACUGACGCUCAGGUGCGAAAGCGUGGGGAGCAAACA